GUGGCGCAAUGGUAACUCAUCUGACUCCAUAUCAGAAAGUUGCGUGUUCGAAUCACGUC
rnacentral:tRNA from 1 species